AUUGAACGCUGGCGGCAGGCCUAACACAUGCAAGUCGAGCGGAUGAAGGGAGCUUGCUCCUGGAUUCAGCGGCGGACGGGUGAGUAAUGCCCAGGAAUCUGCCUGGUAGUGGGGGAUAACGUCCGGAAACGGGCGCUAAUACCGCAUACGUCCUGAGGGAGAAAGUGGGGGAUCUUCGGACCUCACGCUAUCAGAUGAGCCUAGGUCGGAUUAGCUAGUUGGUGGGGUAAAGGCCUACCAAGGCGACGAUCCGUAACUGGUCUGAGAGGAUGAUCAGUCACACUGGAACUGAGACACGGUCCAGACUCCUACGGGAGGCAGCAGUGGGGAAUAUUGGACGAUGGGCGAAAGCCUGAUCCAGCCAUGCCGCGUGUGUGAAGAAGGUCUUCGGAUUGUAAAGCACUUUAAGUUGGGAGGAAGGGCAGUAAGUUAAUACCUUGCUGUUUUGACGUUACCAACAGAAUAAGCACCGGCUAACUUCGUG
rnacentral:rRNA from 1 species